ensembl:lncRNA
AUGCGGCCCUCAGAAUGUUGCCCAGAUGGGAAUUUGGCCCCCACGCUGGAAAAGCCUCCUUUCAUCUGCUCAGAACUCAGAACCUUCCCUUUUGCUUGCAUCCUUUUCUUUUCUGAUUUCUCUCCUCUCCCUCACCUGGGUCCCUUACAUCGCUUCCAGCCCCAGACGCUGCCAGCAGAAUUGGUCCCCGCUUCCUCCGAAGCCGAGAUGCCUCCGUCGGACUCCAGGCGGAGUCGGCCCUCCUGGGGGAUCGCGCAGGAGGGCGAAGGGAACCCCAGCUCCCCGGGUGCAGGCAUGCCAGCAGCCACGCAGACUGAGCCUUCUCCUCUUGCUGGUGGAGGGGCACCUGUGGCACCUGACCAGGUAGGUAGAAGUUUGGGGACAGGCUGGGUGCCUCUGUCCCUGGGCUACUUGUCAAAGGACAAAGGACACACGGCGAGAGGCUAUGUGACACCCUUUGAGGGGCAAAGUUGACCUGCUCAGCCUCGCCCUCCCUGCCUAGGAUCCUUAGAAGGAGGAGCAGACUGAACACAACACCUCUUAACUGCUGCCAGAAUUAUUAUUGGUCAAAAUUGGUGGCGGGGGGGCGAUGAGAACAACACCCUCAAGAGAAAAUCCGGGGCAUCAUAUGCCUGGUUACCAAUAUGGUGGAAAAACAGACCUGAUGAUUUCGUUUCCAGUCUUGUAGACUGUUCCAGAGCAUUUCAGAGUGAUGUGCAACACGAUUAAAAUAAGUUGAAAUGCCAAAAAACGAAACAAAACAACAAUAAAGCCAUUCCAACGUAGCACGGACAGCGAGCCCCUUCUGAAGUUGUCACAGGGUGACUGACGUGAUUUUAUCGUUUCUCCACUCCUCCACAUGCAGCUGCUGGGUGACCUUGGGCCAGUCACACUUCUCUGAAGUCUCUCAGCCCCACUCACCUCACAGAGUGUUUGUUGUGGGGGAGGAAGGGAAAGGAGAAUGUUAGCCGCUUUGAGACUCCUUAAAGGGAGUGAAAGGUGGGAUAUCAAAUCCAAACUCCUCCUCCUCUUCUUCUUCUUCUUCUUCUUCUUCUUCUUCUUCUUCUUCUUCUUCUUCUUCUUCUUCUUUAUAUCUCCUCUCAGACACAGAUAAGCAUGUGACCUGGCGUGUAGCACUCUUUGCAACUGCUGCUAGGAAAAUUAGAGCAAAUUAUAUAGCCGAGGUAGCCACCAACUGUAAAGGAGAUGGAUUUAUUUGACCCGAUCUACAUCAAGCUAUAUUCUUUCUUUAUCAGCGAACUCUGAAUAUAAUUGCACAUUGUAUUAAUUAACAUUAUUUUUUAAUAUAUUAGUAGCCAUGAGAUUUUAGCUUAUAAAUUUUAUUGUUUAAUGUCUCGAUUUGUAUAAGGUACUUUUAUAGCUCUGUUUAGAGUAGGUGAUGUCUUGAUAAUAUAAAUGUUUUAAGUUUUUUGUAUCAAUUCAGUAUAUUUUCUUUUAAUUGUUGAAUGAUUCUGUGUACAUUGCGGCAGCCUUUAGCCAUGUGCAAUAAAACUGACUGACUGACUGACUGGUGCCAAGCCCUGCCCACCAGCCAAACUGGCCUGUGGUUGGUGAGAGAUGCCAGGAUGUGGCUUACAAUAAUUGAUUAUAAUUGUUUGUUUAAUGAUGAGAAUCCAUUCUAUAGUCUGCAAGGAGAAACUGUUUUCUUCUUCUUCCCCUUCCAGGGUCUGGUGACGUUUGAGGAGGUGGCUGUGGAUUUCACAGAGGAGGAAUGGGCCUUGUUGGAUCCAGACCAAAGAGCCCUGCAGUGGGAAGUCAUGGUGGAGAAUUAUGGGAUUCUGGCUUCCCUGGGUAAGGCUUAUUGAUUUAACAAAACCUAUAUACUGCUUGGUUGCAUUUAUUUUUUAAAGAAGCAAACUUCUAAGCACACAAAAAUGAUAAAACAUUAAAAUCAUCAAGAAAAGCAACUAAAAGCAGGUAUUUAAAACAUUCAAAAGAUGAUUAAGAGGUCAUUAAGAUGAUUAAGAGAUAAAACACAUGCCUAAACAAAAAUGCGCUAAGCUGUCACUUGGCAAGGAUUUCCAAAGUGCUGCCACAUUAACAGAUAGAUUUCUUACAUUGUUUUGAGUCCCGUGUUUCUUCUCAGUACAGUGGUACCUCAGGUUACAGACGCUUCAAGUUACAGACUUCGCUAACCCAGAAAUAAUGCUCCAGGUUAAGAACUUUGCUUCAGGAUGAGAACAGAAACCGCGCGUCGGUGGCAGUGGGAGGCCCCAUUAGCUAAAGUGGUACCUCAGGUUAAGAACAGUUUCAGGUUAAGAACGGACCUCCAGAACGAAUUAAGUUCUUAACCCGAGGUACCACUGUGUGUAAACAGAGUCCUUAUCUAGAGGUUCUGCACAGGAGUCACCUUAAACCAGUGUUUCCCAACCGGUGUUCCGCGGCACUCUAGUGUGCCACGAGACGUUACCUGGUGUGCCGUGGGAGGGAGGCGGGCGCUUUCUCGUUCGCGCCCUGCAGCGAGAAGGGCAGCGCAGCGCCGCAGAAGAGGCCCAGGAGGCAGCAGGCGCCCAGCGCGCGCCCGAGUCCUGCCCAGCUCGCCAUGUCCGCCCGCAGCAUUGGCGACCCGAGCCAGGCUCCGCGCGCGAUGCC